GUCCACGCUGUAAACGAUGAGUGCUGGAUGUCGUGGGUAUUGACCCCCGCGGCGUCGUAGCUAACGCGUUAAGCACUCCGCCUGGGGAGUACGGCCGCAAGGCUAAAACUCAAAGGAAUUGACGGGGGCCCGCACAAGCGGUGGAGCAUGUGGUUCAAUUCGACGCAACGCGCAGAACAUUACCUGGGUUAAAUCCACCAGAAUCCUGAAGAGAUGUGGGAGUGCCUUUCGGGGAAUUGGUGAGAAGGUGCUGCAUGGCUGUCGU
rnacentral:rRNA from 1 species